rnacentral:rRNA from 1 species
UACGAAGGGGGCGAGCGUUGUUCGGAUUUACUGGGCGUAAAGGGCGCGCAGGCGGCUCAUUUUGUCAGGCGUGAAAGCCCCGGGCUUAACCUGGGAGGUGCGUUUGAUACGGAUGGGCUAGAGUUCGGGAGAGGAGAGUGGAAUUCCCAGUGUAGAGGUGAAAUUCGUAGAUAUUGGGAAGAACACCGGUGGCGAAGGCGGCGACCUGGUCCUUGACUGACGCUGAGGCGCGAAAGCGUGGGGAGCAAACAGG